GAUGAACGCUGGCGGCGUGCCUAACACAUGCAAGUCGAGCGAACAGACGAGGAGCUUGCUCCUCUGACGUUAGCCGAGGACGGGUGAGUAACACGUGGAUCACCUACCUAUAAGACUGGGAUAACCUCGGGAAACCGGAGCUAAUACCGGAUAAUAUAUUGAACCGCAUGGUUCGAUAGAGAAAGACGGUUUUGCUGUCACUUAUCGCUGGAUCCGGGCCGGAUUAGCUAGUUGGUAAGGUAAAGGGUUACCAAGGCGACGAUGCGUAGCCGAGCUGAGAGGGGGAUCGGCCACACGGGAACUGAGACACGGUCCAGACUCCUACGGUAGGCAGCAGUAGGGAAUCUGCCGCAAUGGGCGAAAGCCUGACGGAGCAACGCCGCGUGAGUGAUGAAGGUCUUCGGAUCGUAAAGCUCUGUUAUUGGGUAAGAACAAAUGUGGAAGUAACUAUGCACGUCUUGACGGUAACUAAUCAAGAAGCCACGGCUAACUACGUG
rnacentral:rRNA from 1 species